rnacentral:rRNA from 1 species
GGGGGGGGGGGGGGGCGGGGCGAAGAGAGGGAGGGCGAGGGGACGGACGAGGGGCGGGCGUCGCUGAUGUUAGCGGCGGACGGGGGGGGAACACGGGGAUAACCUACCUAUAAGACUGGGAUAACUUCGGGAAACCGUAGCUAAUGCCGGAUAAUAUUUUGAACAGCAUGGGUCAAAAGGGAAAGACGGUCUUGCGGUCACUUAUAGAUGGAUCCGCGCUGCAUUAGCUAGUUGGUAAGGUAACGGCUUACCAAGGCAACGAUGCAUAGCCGACCUGAGAGGGUGAUCGGCCACACUUGAACUGAGACACGGUCCAGACUCCUACGGGAGGCAGCAGUAGGGAAUCUUCCGCAAUGGGCGAAAGCCUGACGGAGCAACGCCGCGUGAGUGAUGAAGGUCUUCGGAUCGUAAAACUCUGUUAUUAGGGAAGAACAUAUGUGUAAGUAACUGUGCACAUCUUGACGGUACCUAAUCAGAAAGCCACGGCUAACUACGUG